rnacentral:rRNA from 1 species
CGGAGGAUCCAAGCGUUAUCCGGAAUCAUUGGGUUUAAAGGGUCCGUAGGCGGGUUUAUAAGUCAGUGGUGAAAGCCCAUCGCUCAACGAUGGAACGGCCAUUGAUACUGUAGAUCUUGAAUUAUUAGGAAGUAACUAGAAUAUGUAGUGUAGCGGUGAAAUGCUUAGAGAUUACAUGGAAUACCAAUUGCGAAGGCAGGUUACUACUAAUGGAUUGACGCUGAUGGACGAAAGCGUGGGUAGCGAACAGGAUUAGAUACCCUGGUAGUCCACGCCGUAAACGAUGGAUACUAGCUGUUCGGAGCAACCUGAGUGGCUAAGCGAAAGUGAUAAGUAUCCCACCUGGGGAGUACGUUCGCAAGAAUG